rnacentral:rRNA from 1 species
GGCAGCAGUAGGGAAUAUUGCACAAUGGGCGAAAGCCUGAUGCAGCAACGCCGCGUGCGCGAAGAAGGCCUUCGGGUUGUAAAGCGCUUUUCUGGAGGAAGAGGAAGGACGGUACUCCAGGAAUAAGGAUCGGCUAACUACGUGCCAGCAGCCGCGGUAGCACGUAGGAUCCGAGCGUUAUCCGAAUUUACUGGGCGUAAAGCGCACGUAGGUGGCAUGGUAAGUCAAAGGUGAAAGCCCUCGGCUCAACCGAGGAACUGCCUUUGAAACUGCUUUGCUUGAGUCCGGGAGGGGGGAGCGGAGUCCCGGUGUUUCGGUUAAGACCUUUGAUGCCGGGAGUAAUAGAGUGGCGAAAGAAAAUUAAAGCACCGCUACUGCCACCUAUAUCAUUAGCCUGCUGUCUCGGAGGUCUAUUGUCCGUGGUCUCCCGGGAGGGUCACAAUGUAUGCUACGUCAACAGGGAUCGACCUUCGGGCGGACCUCUCUUCACAAUACGAGCACCUUCUGGGGAGCACCGGCGCCAAGGUGAAAAUCACUCGCUUAGAGCG